AAUGUGUGAGGUGGUGCUAUGUAGCAGGAACCCCUCUUGCUUUGCAAAUAGUUUUUUGUUUGUUUUCCUUUUUGCCCAAUAGAGCCCUGCUCUACUGACCCUUCAAUGUGCCCGUGUGCCUAAAUAUUCCUGGUCGUGUGAAAAGAACCCAGGUAUUAGCUGAACUAAGGAGCACAAUUCUGCAACAUUUUGGCACCCAAACACGGGGCUUGAGAAAUGAAUGCAAUUGGAGAAACUGGUUGUUUUACCAGGCGUUGAUUGGAAAUGUGUGCUUCCCUUUAAGCAGUCAAGCUCAACUUGCAGAACUGAUGGGAACCCCUUGGGAAAACUGGCCUCAAAUGUUUGUCUACACAGUCCACAUACAGGGUUCUUAACCUGCGAUGCUUUUGUGUAGAUGAGGGAAACUUCCCAGGGCUUGUCUGGGUAUGCCCACAGUGGACUGGAGCCCAAAAUGCACACUGGAGGAAGUGGAUGGAGCCACGUGGAUGUCAUGCCUUAUGCAGGGGAGGAGCCUGCUCUCUUCAGCUCCUGUGGUAAUGUGGGAAUCGAUCUGUGAGGUGAGGACCUGUUAGCAGGAACCCCUCUUGCUUUGCUGAAAGUUUUAUUUUUCUUUUUGCCCUAUAAAACCCUGUUCUACUAACCCUUCAAUAUGUCUGCAUUCCUAAAUUUUCCUGGUCAUGUGACGAGAACCUAGGUUUUAGCUGAACUAAGGAGCAAAAUUCUGCAACAUAAAGUCAAAGAAAACUAUGCCUAUAUCCAUUAAAUCAAAUGUUAAAAAGCAAAUAUAAAGAAAAAGUCUUCACAGCCCUAGAGAAAAGUGAAACAUUGUACAUAAAGAAGUAAUAAUUUGAAUGGAUUGUCAGAAACCAUGACUAGAAGACAGAGGAGCAAUAUUUUCAAAUUUCAUAGAGAAAGGAAAAAAAGAAAAG
rnacentral:lncRNA from 1 species